rnacentral:rRNA from 1 species
AUUGGACGCUGGCGGCAGGCCUAACACAUGCAAGUCGAGCGGAUGAAGGGAGCUUGCUCCUGGAUUCAGCGGCGGACGGGUGAGUAAUGCCUAGGAAUCUGCCUGGUAGUGGGGGAUAACGUCCGGAAACGGGCGCUAAUACCGCAUACGUCCUGAGGGAGAAAGUGGGGGAUCUUCGGACCUCACGCUAUCAGAUGAGCCUAGGUCGGAUUAGCUAGUUGGUGGGGUAAAGGCCUACCAAGGCGACGAUCCGUAACUGGUCUGAGAGGAUGAUCAGUCACACUGGAACUGAGACAUGGUCCAGACUCCUACGGGAGGCAGCAGUGGGGAAUAUUGGACAAUGGGCGAAAGCCUGAUCCAGCCAUGCCGCGUGUGUGAAGAAGGUCUUCGGAUUGUAAAGCACUUUAAGUUGGGAGGAAGGGCAGUAAGUUAAUACCUUGCUGUUUUGACGUUACCAACAGAAUAAGCACCGGCUAACUUCGUG